UGGUGUUGUGAUGAAGUUCCUAGAACUAUAAGAAAAUAGAUAAAAGAGGAUUUAUCGAAUAGUUCUUAAACAUGUUCGCAACCAAAUGAUAUAUCAUUAAAGGACAAUGACAUUUAUCAAGUGUAGAUUGUUGUGUGUAAUAUAGAUUGGUUGUUUUCGUAAUCAAGGAGUAUAGAGAUACUGGUAUGGCAUACAUAUGAGAUAUAGGAGUACAUCGUCCUAAACAAGUGACUCACUUGUGGAGCACUCUACUAUUAAGAGCUAAUGAAGAAAUAGACAUAAUUGCCCCUCAGACCUAAGAUCACUAUGGUGACUUGCAAGCAACUCACUAGGCUUUAGUGCCGAACUACUUAAAUUUUUAAUUCAAUGAUGGAAGAUUUCUGAGCACAGUCAAGUACUUGUGGUAGUCAAUGUGUAGAUCAAGAUAGGAUUGACCCCUCUGAAUUUUAGUAGUGGAUGCAUCAUUAUGUUUCAAGUGAGUAAGACCUCAGUCAGGACAAUCCAUGUGAUAGAUCACAAGAUUUAAAAAGGAUUAAAAUACAAUGUGGAUGACUAAUCUAAGGUUGACGUUAAACCCUAGGUCACCAUGAGCAUUCAAGGUCAAAGGGAUGAAUUAUAUGGUAACCAUAUUCUUUGAUUCUUGAGUGAUAUCUUACAAACAUUCAAUCUAUCUGGACAUCGAAAACCAUUGCUAGAUGAUAACUUCGAAUAGUAUAGAAAAUAGUUCCUAUGCUAUCGACUC
rnacentral:lncRNA from 1 species